GUUGGAAUGGUUGAAUAACUGGCCAAUCGAAUUUGUGAAAGAAACUAGGAGGCGGGAAGUCAUUUGGAUAAGACAUGGCGAUGUUCGAUACAGAAACUCGUUAGAAUUUUUAACCAUUUACAUUCUGGAUUUCCCCGCAUUGAAUUAUUGGGCGCAGUCUUUUCGGCGUAGUACGCGCCCCCAGUUGACCAUGCCCGUCCAGUCAUUCUCCUUCCCCCUCCCUGAGACCCGCUUCUUCCGAGCUGGACGCCACGUCUACAAGUUCAAGAUCAAGAGCGGCAGCAAAUGCAGUGAUGAGAUUAUCAACGAUGAGCACACCACGCAGGAGCUUGAGGUAAAGAGGAGACAGAUUCUACAUUAGAGCAUUCACAGGGAA